UACGUAGGCAGCGAGCGUUGUUCGGAGUUACUGGGCGUAAAGCGUGCGUAGGCGGUGGUCCAAGUCUGGUGUGAAAUCUCCCGGCUCAACUGGGAGGGUGCGCCGGAAACUGGGCCGCUGGAGUAUGGGAGAGGCAAGCGGAAUUCCAGGUGUAGCGGUGAAAUGCGUAGAUAUCGAGAGGAACACCUGCGGCGAAGGCGGGUUGCUGGGCCGACACUGACGCUGAGGCGCGAAAGCCAGGGGAGCGAACGGG
rnacentral:rRNA from 1 species